GCCAGCGUAGUUUAAGCAAAAUAUGGCACUGAAAAUGCCAAGAAAGAUUUUAAUAAAUCUCGCAAGCA
rnacentral:tRNA from 1 species